GCGGCAUCUAGCGGCAGGCUUGAGAGGUAUAAACCUUACCCAGAGAACUUUCUGGAAAAUUAGCUGAGUGCGUAUUUGAAGGACACAGUGCUUGGAGACCAGGGACAGAAAGAUCACGAUCAGAAAAGCUAAGUUUGCCUUACAGUAAGGAUCAGGAGAUCUGAUCCUGUUUGCAGAACCAUCCCUGAUUACAGAGCCUUGGGCUGUGUCUCCCACUUCAUCCUUCCAGACCAUCCCAGAAGAUCUGUAAGAUUCCAUCUGGGAAAUCACUAGGAGUUCUUGGAAGGGAAAGAAGGAAGAUUGUUGGU
rnacentral:lncRNA from 1 species